UUUCAUUUCUUCCUCUUCCACCUUCUGCCUCUCUCUCGCGAUAAGCGAUUUUAAACCGAAAAAAUCUCUGUCUCUCAUCAUAAUCACCUUUCUUCUUCAUCUUUGUCAUCUACAGCUCUUCUCUCUGUCAAACAUGGUGUAGAGAUCGACCUUUUAGAUGUCCAAACCCUAAUCUCGAGUUUUAGACGGGUAAUGUCUUAUUCUUUUCUUUGUCUUAUCCUAUGUCUCUCUUUUUGAAAUCUUGCCUUACAAUAAGCUAUUGGUACUCCGAUCCCUAAUUGAAAUUUUCAAUCCCGGAGGAUUUUGGUUAUGCUGAGAGGUGAAGCCGAGGAAGGCGACAUAGAAGAAUAAACUAUGAGGUGGAUUCAUCGGCAAAGUCGGAGCACCAAAGAAUCUUAUCGACAGAUGCGUCAGAGCACCCGCAACGAUGAAGCUCUUCUUGGUGGUACGGGUGAGUCUUUUCGAGCGGCUUCGACAAUCUUAUUCUCAAAUGGAGAAUUGAUUAGGGUUCUUCCUCAUCCUCGUUUCUCAAGGGUUUAGAGACAUCACCUGGACAAGUAAAGAAACGUCCUCACAAACAAGAACUUCUUUAAGACCAAGAUAACAAGGAGCCAAUAGAAAGAAGAACGGCCAUUAGACUGACAAGGUCGUCAGCACUUACAAGAGGAAUUUGAGAACCUCUUCAACAGAGAAUAUCAUCAAGGUAGUAGGACAAUUGGCACCAACUACAAGUGAAAGUGGAUCAAGCAGCAGUAAGGUGUUAGUUUCACAACCACACUUUGAUAACCUCACUUUGAUUGUUCUAAAAAUAUUUUUUGCAUCGUGUUCCCCUUCUGCCUCAUCCACACACCGUUCUAUCUCUCUCUCGCCGGGAUUGGAAGCAAGUUACGGAGUCUGCCGCCGUUUCAUUUAAUGAGCCACGAUGACAACACAACCUUAAAGGAGACCAAGCUGUGGGGCGGAAGAUUCGAAGAGAGUGUCACUGAGAAGGUGGAGAUUGAAGCUCAUUUGUUGUUCAGUUUGCUAUAUCAUUUUAUGUAAAUUUAGAUUAUUAAUGCUUCUUUCACUUUGGAGAUGAACUCGUUCUGAUUUUUGCUUUGUCUUUGCUCAUGUUAUGUGAAUUGUGUUAGUUUGUAUGAUGAUGUUUCUUGAGCUGAAGUUUCAUGGUUGUUGUUGAGAGACUACAAAUAUACAAUACCUGCAGGACCUUGACAAUUUCA